rnacentral:tRNA from 1 species
ACAUUGAUGGUUCAGUGGUAGAAUUUUUGCCUUUCACGUGGGAGACCUGGGUUCCAUUCCCAGCCGAUACA